rnacentral:lncRNA from 1 species
UCCCGUUGUUAUGGAGGUAGGCUCUCUAGGAAUCUGGGAGUAGUAGCUGGGGGGCAAGAGCAAAUAAAGAGCUCGAGCUUCUGUGGUCUCUGGGGAGAUGUUCCCGGGAAGCCUGUCUAGAGGGCGGAGGGCAGCUGUUGAGAUGGCGUGGCUCCCCGGCUCCUGCGCCCGCGUGGCUUUCGCGGCGGGCGCUGCGGCCCGGUAUUGGACAGCCUGGCAGGGCAGCGCGGGGCCGAAUCCGGCUGCCGUGGCUGAGGCUCAUGGAUCACUCUUUUGUGGUAGGGCCACAUCUGCCAGAGCCUGGAGUCUGCGAAGGCCGGGACCCGGUUCCCCGGCCCACAGUGGGGGUGUGCAAACCCGAGAGAACUGGAUUGCGUACCCACUGCAGAGUGCUGAAGACGGGGUAGCCACGAGGUUGCAAAUUCGUGAAGAAUCAGCAUCAUGUUUGGCAGCUGAGUAUUGGAGCCAGGAGCCUGCCAUGAGGUUUUGAGAACAGAGUGCUGUUUUAGAGCUGGCAGCAGCAUCUCAGCCCAAGAGAAGGUUAUAUUCCCAGAGGAUGUCAGUCCCAAGGACCAGUAGCUGCCAUCAGUUUGGAUUCUGAAAACUAACUGGCAUCAACACUGGGUGUAGAAACAUGCUUGCCUUAUGUAUCAGAGGACAUGCUCAGCAGAUCCAAGAGAUAUAUUUGGCAACUUUUUCUAGAAAAGGCACAUUGGGUAUCAUUCAUUACAUUCUUGAGUUUUUUUGGGUUUUUUUUUUUUUUUUUGAGACAGUCUUGCUGUAUUGCCCAGGCUGGAGUGUGGUGGCACAAUCACAGCUCAUUGCAUCCUCAAUCACCCAGGCCUAAGCAAUCCUCCCACCUUGUAGCUGGGACUACAGCUCACAGCACACCUGGCUAAAAUUUUUUUUUUGUUGAGACGGAUUCUCUAUGUUGCCCAGGCUGGUCUCAGGCUCCUGGGCUCAGAUGGUCCUCCUGCCUCAGCUUCCAAAGGCACAGGCCAAGUUGUAGCUUUGUCCCUUGCCAUCAUGCCCAACAAGAGGUUCUAUACCUUUUAAUGAAUUGACUUUCAUAAAUUGGUUAUGUUGGUGGGCAAAGUUCUUUAAGCUGGAAAUUGUAAAUUCCUCCUGAAAUGUUUUUUCAUGCAGUUACCAUGAACUAAUACUACAAUAAAGGAUGGUCUUGGGUGUCAAUUCUUGAAAA